AAGCCACCUCCGUGGGUUGCGUGUUUGUGAAACGAAGAUGGGAACGGAGACUGGGCAGGUCCCGGGAGAAGCUGGCGCGCCCCCGCGUCCCCAGCACCCCGGCCGGGCUUGUGCGGACGUGUCUCGGGCGUGACCUCUGAGCAGCUGCGCCACCGGCUCAGCCUCGCGGCGGGAGAAACCCGAGCUCCCAACAAAACAGUUCCAUCUUUGGCAAGUCCUCUGAUACCAGGUGGUCAGCAGAGGCUCAGAAGCUUUACACCCUUACAAGAGGAAGUCUCCUUUCUAAUAUCAUCCCCCCCGUCCCCAAACUGAUUCCACUUGGCCUCUACCUGCCUGAGACAUGGAAGCAACCUAAGUGUGUAUUGACAGAGGAAU